rnacentral:rRNA from 1 species
UACGGAAGGCAGCAGUGGGGAAUAUUGCACAAUGGGCGCAAGCCUGAUGCAGCCAUGCCGCGUGUAUGAAGAAAGCCUUCGGGUUGUAAAGUACUUUCAGUCGUGAGGAAGGUGUUAAGGUUAAUAACCUUAGCAAUUGACGUUAGCGACAGAAGAAGCACCGGCUAACUCCGUGCCAGCAGCCGCGGUAAUACGGAGGGUGCGAGCGUUAAUCGGAAUUACUGGGCGUAAAGGGCACGCAGGCGGUUAAUUAAGUUGGAUGUGAAAUCCCCGGGCUUAACCUGGGAAUGGCAUUCAAGACUGGUUAGCUAGAGUCUUGUAGAGGGGGUAGAAUUCCAUGUGUAGCGGUGAAAUGCGUAGAGAUGUGGAGGAAUACCGGUGGCGAAGGCGGCCCCUGGGACAAAGACUGACGCUCAUGUGCGAAAGCGUGGGGAGCAAAC